GGGUAGACUGAGGCAGCUGAGAGGCAGUCUGAAGCAGCUGAGAGGUAGACUGAGGCAGUUGAGAGGUAGACUGAGGCAGCUGAGAGGUAGUCUGAGGCAGCUGAGAGGUAGUCUGAGGCAGCUGAGAGGCAGUCUGAAGCAGCUGAGAGGUAGUCUGAGGCAGUUGAGAGGUAGACUGAAGCAGCUGAGAGGUAGACUGAGGCAGCUGAGAGGUAGACUGAGGCAGCUGAGAGGUAGUCUUCCAUCAGACAAACUGUGACUUAUCACCUCCUGCAGAUCCUCCCCUGAUGUGGACCAAAAGGCUGUGUAAAAAUACCCGACGGAAGCAUUUUCACUGUGUACACAACCUGACUAUGGUGUGACAGCUCCCUCUCCAACACCUCGUCACUGAUAAAGG